rnacentral:sRNA from 1 species
AUUUCUCCAGCCACUAUGGAAGUUCUUAUGCGAGUAUUGGCAGAUUGUGAUUCCUGGGAGGAUGGAGAUCCUGAAGAAGUGGGUAGGAAGGCAGAACUAACUCUGAAGUGCCUUACAGAAGUGGUACAUAUCCUUCUCAGUAGCAACUCUGAUCAGCGUCAAGUGGAAACCAGUACUAUUCUGGAGAACUAUUUUAAAUUGCUAAAUUCAGAUCAUUCAGCUUUACCUAAUCAAAGAAGGUCCAGACAGUGGGAAAACCGAUUUAUUGCUCUACAGAUCAAAAUGCUGAAUACCAUCACAGCCAUGUUAGAUUGUAGAGAUAGACCUGUUCUUCAGGCCAUUUUUCUUAACAGCAAUUGCUUUGAACAUCUCAUACGACUGCUACAGAACUGCAAGCUAUUUUUAAAUGCUAACAAUAAGGUGGCAGACAAGAACGAGAAAGACCUUGC